rnacentral:rRNA from 1 species
UACAGAGGGGGCAAGCGUUGUUCGGAAUUACUGGGCGUAAAGGGCGCGUAGGCGGCCGCCUAAGUCAGACGUGAAAUCCCUCGGCUCAACCGGGGAACUGCGUCUGAUACUGGGCGGCUUGAAUUCGGGAGAGGAAUGCGGAAUUCCCAGUGUAGCGGUGAAAUGCGUAGAUAUUGGGAGGAACACCAGUGGCGAAGGCGGCUCACUGGACUGGUACUGACGCUGAGGCGCGAAAGCGUGGGGAGCAAACGGG